rnacentral:lncRNA from 1 species
GUUGGAGAAGAAACCAUUCCUGCUUGUUCCCAGGCGUCCGGAGAAUAGAAAGAAAGGAUUCCCGCCCCUCUUAUUACCACGAUUUCUCUGUUUCCCUAUCUUUUGCAAACGAACGGCUAGCACGGGGUUUAAGCAGGCUGGCCGCGGAGCCCGGCUGCCUCCUGACCCUGUCUCAACCUCUCCAAAUCUCAGCGUUCUCAUCUGUCGUGCGGGAGCAAUAAUCAUUCCUCGCCUGUAGGAUGGCUGCGAGCGCAAAGGGGUAACCCGGGUGAAGGGCUCGGCGCGGCACUUUGUACACAGAGAGGGAUCAAGGGAUGCCAGCUGGUACCGGGAUUUUCCGAUUACGAAACUACGUGCAACAGAACUCAAGGCUCUAAGGAAGAGGAAUGUGCCGUCCGGUCUCCCACCGUUCGCUCCCAGUCUUCCCCCAAAGGAUUAUUUAACAAAUGCUCUUUUUUUUUCUAGUCCUUAAUCACUAUGAUACGUUGAGAAGUGGCUAAAUAGCAGCCUUCUGUAGGAAUCAACUCCCGUGUGUCAACACUUUGAGAAGGUGUCCCUCGGUGCCCCUCCGCGUCCCCAGCAGCGGGGUCUGCGUGUAACCAGAGGCCAGCCAGGGCCGGGUAAACGGGUGUAUUAGUGACUUAUUGCUGGAAAACAAACUGACACGAAUUUAUGCAUGCAUUUUCUUGCAGUUUUUGUGACUCGAGAAUCUUGGCAUGGCUUGGCUACGUCCUUAGCUCGGGGUGUCACGAGGUUGCAGCGAAGGGGUUAGCGGGGCUGCCUUCUCAUGUGGUGGCUUGGCCGGGGAGGGAUGCCCCUCCCGGCUCAUCAGGUUGUCGGCACAGUGGAUUUCCUUGUCGCCGUGGGACUGCGGGCCUUUGCCGCCCUGGCCCUGGCCGUCAGCUCCUAAGGACCACGGCUGCCGACUGCACUAAUCCCACAAGGAGAGUCUCUGCAGCAAGUCUGCCAACAAGCCCCUCCAGAGUUAAGCCCCGUGCCAAGCAGACAAGCCUACAUUUGGGGCCUGCAGGAGGACUGCGGAGGGAGGACUGCGGAGGGAGGACUGCGGAGGGAGGACUGCGAGAGCCCGGCCUGGAUGAGGAGCAGCGACUGCAACACCCUCCCUUGCCCCAGGGAGGAGCAGCUUGGAAACUUUUUAUGAGAUUCCAGAAGCAGCAAGGUCAGCAGGUUUAUGGCCAUUCUGCUUCGUUUGUAAAUACAGCCUUUGAAUGA